rnacentral:sRNA from 1 species
UGGAAGGUUCGGUUUUCGCUGUGCCAUG